rnacentral:rRNA from 1 species
UACGUAGGGGGCAAGCGUUGUCCGGAUUUAUUGGGCGUAAAGAGCGUGUAGGCGGCCAUACAGGUCAGCUGUGAAAACUCGAGGCUCAACCUCGAGACGUCGGUUGAAACCGUAUGGCUAGAGUCCGGAAGAGGAGAGUGGAAUUCCCGGUGUAGCGGUGAAAUGCGCAGAUAUCGGGAAGAACACCCGUGGCGAAGGCAGCUCGCUGGGACGGUACUGACGCUGAGACGCGAAAGCGUGGGGAGCAAACAGG